GAUGAACGCUAGCGGCAGGCUUAAUACAUGCAAGUCGUGGGGCAGCAUGUCCCGCAGCAAUGCGGGAUGAUGGCGACCGGCAAACGGGUGCGGAACACGUACACAAACUUCCUUUAAGUGGGGAAUAGCCCAGGGAAACUUGGAUUAAUAACCCGUAAUAUAGAGAAGCGGCAUUGCUUUUAUAUUAUAGCAGCAAGGCGCUUGAAGAUGGGUGUGCGGCUGAUUAGGUAGUUGGCGGGGUAAUGGCCCACCAAGCCGACGACCAGUAACUGGUGUGAGAGCACGACCAGUCACACGGGCACUGAGACACGGGCCCGACUCCUACGGGAGGCAGCAGUAAGGAAUAUUGGUCAAUGGACGCAAGUCUGAACCAGCCAUGCCGCGUGGAGGAUGAAGGUCCUCUGGAUUGUAAACUUCUUUUAUCUGGGAAGAAAUCCAUUUUUUCUAAAAUGGUUGACGGUACCAGAUGAAUAAGCACCGGCUAACUCCGUGCCAGCAGCCGCCGUAAAAC
rnacentral:rRNA from 1 species